UAUUAAAUAGGUGCGUGGUUCUCUGCACUUUGCACCCUUCUUAGAGGGACAAGCGGCUCCUAGUCGCACGAAACAGAGCAAUAACAGGUCUGCGAUGCCCUUAGAUGUCCCGGGGCCGCACGCGCACUACACUGAAGGAAGCAGCGUGUUUUUAUCCCUGUCUGUUAAGACAGUAAGCUUAGAAAAAAGUGACUUGAGCAAAUGCAGAGG
rnacentral:ncRNA from 1 species